rnacentral:rRNA from 1 species
GGCCCCGCACAAGCGGUGGAGCAUGUGGUUUAAUUCGAUGCAACGCGAAGAACCUUACCUACUCUUGACAUCCUCAGAAGGAACCGGAAACGGAUCUGUGCCUUCGGGAACUGAGAGACAGGUGCUGCAUGGCUGUCGUCAGCUCGUGUCGUGAGAUGUUGGGUUAAGUCCCGUAACGAGCGCAACCCCUAUCCUUAGUUGCCAGCACGUAAUGGUGGGAACUCUAGGGAGACUGCCGGUGACAAACCGGAGGAAGUGGGGGACGACGUCAAGUCAUCAUGGCCCUUAGUCCUGGGCCACACACGUGCUACAAUGGUCAGUACAGAAAGCAGCCACUAUGCGAAUAGGAGCUAA